GACUACCAACCAAUCGUCUAUGUAAGAGUAGACGUGGAUGCCGUUGAGGCGUAGGUAUGACCUUUGUGAAUGUCCUGGGAGCUGUUGAAAGUCCGAAAGGCAAAGCCAGGAAUUGAUAAAUGGUUCCCUGGAAGAUGAACUGCAGGGGCAUGAUGGAUUCCAAGGUCACCAUCCAGAAGUGCCUUGGAUGUAGGCGGCUUAUAGGAUUGCCUAUGCUGAGACUGCUGAGGACGAUAGCUGGGAGCGGAGGAAGAAGCUUGAGAAGAUCUUUGCUGAGAUAGGUUCUUAUAUGGUCUGUAUUGCUGUGAAGAUUGCUGAUAUUGUGAAUAAGACUUUCUCCACUGAAAUUUAUUAUAUCUAGGCUGAGGUUGGAUCGAGUAGGAUUUUGCAGUCUUUUUUGCCUUAUGCAGUUCCUCCAAAUGA